CUUGGUCAUUUAGAGGAAGUUAGGAUCAUUACACAAUAUGAAAGCGGGCUGGGACCUCACCUCGGUGAGGGCUCCAGCUUGUCUGAAUUAUUCACCCAUGUCUUUUGCGCACUUCUUGUUUCCUGGGCGGGUUCGCCCGCCACCAGGACCAAACCAUAAACCUUUUUGUAAUUGCAAUCAGCGUCAGUAAACAAUGUAAUUAUUACAACUUUCAACAACGGAUCUCUUGGUUCUGGCAUCGAUGAAGAACGCAGCGAAAUGCGAUACGUAGUGUGAAUUGCAGAAUUCAGUGAAUCAUCGAAUCUUUGAACGCACAUUGCGCCCUUUGGUAUUCCAAAGGGCAUGCCUGUUCGAGCGUCAUUUGUACCCUCAAGCUUUGCUUGGUGUUGGGCGUCUUUGUCUCUCACGAGACUCGCCUUAAAAUGAUUGGCAGCCGACCUACUGGUUUCGGAGCGCAGCACAAUUCUUGCACUUUGAAUCAGCCUUGGUUGAGCAUCCAUCAAGACCACAUUUUUUUCAACUUUUGACCUCGGAUCAGGUAGGGAUACCCGCUGAACUUAAGCAUAUCAAUAAGCGGAGGA
rnacentral:rRNA from 1 species